rnacentral:rRNA from 1 species
CGUAUCACUUAAAGCGAUUCAGCGGAUGACGAUUGACGGAGCGAAGCGACGUCAAAGCGUAUACAAAGUCGAGUCGGUUUAAGGAUACGUUCGUUGGGUAGGGGAGCGUUCUGUAAGCCUGUGAAGGUGUGCUGUGAGGCAUGCUGGAGGUAUCAGAAGUGCGAAUGCUGACAUAAGUAACGAUAAAGCGGGUGAAAAGCCCGCUCGCCGGAAGACCAAGGGUUCCUGUCCAACGUUAAUCGGGGCAGGGUGAGUCGACCCCUAAGGCGAGGCCGAAAGGCGUAGUCGAUGGGAAACGGGUUAAUAUUCCCGUACUUGGUGUUACUGCGAAGGGGGGACGGAGAAGGCUAUGUUGGCCGGGCGACGGUUGUCCCGGUUUAAGCGUGUAGGUGUGUGUUCCAGGUAAAUCCGGUUCACUUUAACACUGAGGCGUGACGACGAGGCACUACGGUGCUGAAGCAACAAAUGCCCUGCUUCCAGGAAAAGCCUCUAAGCAUCAGGUAACAUCAAAUCGUACCCCAAACCGACACAGGUGGUCAGGUAGAGAAUACCAAGGCGCUUGAGAGAACUCGGGUGAAGGAACUAGGCAAAAUGGUGCCGUAACUUCGGGAGAAGGCAUGCUGACACGUAGGUGAAGUGAUUUACUCAUGGAGCUGAAGUCAGUCGAAGAUACCAGCUGGCUGCAACUGUUUAUUAAAAACACAGCACUGUGCAAACACGAAAGUGGACGUAUACGGUGUGACGCCUGCCCGGUGCCGGAAGGUUAAUUGAUGGGGUCAGCGCAAGCGAAGCUCCUGAUCGAAGCCCCGGUAAACGGCGGCCGUAACUAUAACGGUCCUAAGGUAGCGAAAUUCCUUGUCGGGUAAGUUCCGACCUGCACGAAUGGCGUAAUGAUGGCCAGGCUGUCUCCACCCGAGACUCAGUGAAAUUGAACUCGCUGUGAAGAUGCAGUGUACCCGCGGCAAGACGGAAAGACCCCGUGAACCUUUACUAUAGCUUGACACUGAACAUUGAGCCUUGAUGUGUAGGAUAGGUGGGAGGCUUUGAAGUGUGG